rnacentral:lncRNA from 1 species
AAUAAUUAUUCUUUUUCCUUUUUUGAGAGAGAGAAAAAAGGGAGACAGAGGGCACAAGUGAGCAAGGGAUAGAGAGAGAGAAGGAGAGAGAGAGAGAGAGAGAAGUGGAGCUCACCUGAAGCAGGACCAGAGCUCACGAAUCACGAGAUCAUGACCUGAGCCGAAACCGAGUUGGACGCUUAACCAACUAAAUCACGUAGGCACCCCAAGAUUUAUGAAAUUCUUAUCUUUUCUUUCCAUAAUGCUUAUAUGGGUCUUCAUCUUGAACCUAGGGUCUGUGAAAUAAAGUAAAUUUUACUUCUUUUGAUUAUCUUCCUUUUGAAGCCUACAGACAUGGUGAAUACUCAAGUGUCCAGGGGAAAUUAUGUUUUGGUUGUUACAAGUCUGAGUUCUAUCAGUAGAAUAUGAGAUAUGUUGAUAUUCUCUGUCCUCAGUACGUUUUCUGAGUGCUACUUUACCAAAACUGGUCUCUAGGAAUUGUGUUAUGAGAUGGGUCCUGAUUGCAAAGGAUUUAAUCUCUAUCACAGACUAAAAUCUUACAUAACUUGGAAAUGCCAGGUUAAGUCAAACUGGUGUUCAAGGCCGUAUUUCCUCCUUUCUAAGUUCUCGAGUUAGGAAUCAUUUUUCCUGCUUAGAUUCUGCAUGAACUUGGACAAAUAUGUGAGAAACAUCUCUUGUCAGCCUUGUGGGUUCCGGUUCCUUUAUUUUCCAUCUCGUUCGCCCUCUGCUGGUUUUUCAGAAGAAGAACAUGGCUAACGUGUGAAGAAUGGAUUAGAAGAAGUCGAGAAUGUAACAAGGUGGGACCACCCCGGAGAACUGCGUCCAGGAGGAUGAGCAGGGCUCUGGAGAAGAACAUGGGGUAGAUGCACUGGCAUGGAAGAAUAUACAUUCAGAUAAAUGGAAUAGAAUGGGACGGAGGGAUACAAGGUAAAGAAGAGGAAUUGACUGGUGGAGCAAGCACUUGGUGGAGUCCAAAGAGGAUGCGCUCUAGUUCAAGCCAGCACAGGAAGUGGAUCUCGGGGACGAGAACGGAUUAUUCAAAGACAGCGAGGCAUGACCACGUGUGGUGUUUGGAAGGCUUCAAGAAGGUAGACGCGGCUGAAGUACAGUGA